rnacentral:SRP_RNA from 1 species
AGAAGGAAGUGUGUUCCCACUGCCCUCUCUCCUGCAAGCCCGGGCCCUAUCGUGGUUCUACAGUGACAUCAUUUGCACCCAGGAGUUCUGGGCUCUAGUGCACCCGCAGUGCCCAUCAGGGGCCCACACAAUGUUCAGCAUCAAUACAGUAACCUCCUGGAAGCAGGGGAUCACCAGGAUGUCUCAGGGAGGGGUGAGCCAGCCGAGGUUGAAAAUAGAACAGGUCAAAACUCCCGUGCAGAUCAGUCAUGGGAUCGUGCCUGUGAACAACCACUGCACUCCAGCCUGGGCAACAUAACGCGACGCCGUCUCUAA